rnacentral:rRNA from 1 species
AUUGGGUAGGGGAGCGUUCUGUAAGCCGUUGAAGGUGAAUCGUAAGGUUUGCUGGAGGUAUCAGAAGUGCGAAUGCUGACAUGAGUAACGACAAAGGGGGUGAAAAACCUCCUCGCCGGAAGACCAAGGGUUCCUGUCCAACGUUAAUCGGGGCAGGGUGAGUCGACCCCUAAGGUGAGGCCGAAAGGCGUAAUCGAUGGGAAACGGGUUAAUAUUCCCGUACUUCUGACUAUUGCGAUGGGGGGACGGAGAAGGCUAGGUGGGCCAGGCGACGGUUGUCCUGGUUCAAGUGCGUAGGCUUGAGAGUUAGGUAAAUCCGGCUCUCUCUAAGGCUGAGACACGACGUCGAGCUACUACGGUAGUGAAGUCAUUGAUGCCAUGCUUCCAGGAAAAGCCUCUAAGCUUCAGAUAGUCAGGAAUCGUACCCCAAACCGACACAGGUGGUCGGGUAGAGAAUACCAAGGCGCUUGAGAGAACUCGGGUGAAGGAACUAGGCAAAAUGGUACCGUAACUUCGGGAGAAGGUACGCUCUUGAUGGUGAAGUCCCUCGCGGAUGGAGCUGACGAGAGUCGCAGAUACCAGGUGGCUGCAACUGUUUAUUAAAAACACAGCACUGUGCAAAAUCGCAAGAUGACGUAUACGGUGUGACGCCUGCCCGGUGCCGGAAGGUUAAUUGAUGGGGUUAGCGCAAGCGAAGCUCUUGAUCGAAGCCCCGGUAAACGGCGGCCGUAACUAUAACGGUCCUAAGGUAGCGAAAUUCCUUGUCGGGUAAGUUCCGACCUGCACGAAUGGCGUAAUGAUGGCCACGCUGUCUCCACCCGAGACUCAGUGAAAUUGAAAUCGCUGUGAAGAUGCAGUGUACCCGCGGCUAGACGGAAAGACCCCGUGAACCUUUACUACAGCUUGGCACUGAACAUUGAACCUACAUGUGUAGGAUAGGUGGGAGGCUAUGAAGACGUGACGCCAGUUGCGUUGGAGCCGUCCUUGAAAUACCACCCUUGUAUGUUUGAUGUUCUAACUUAGACCCAUUAUCUGGGUUGAGGACAGUGCCUGGUGGGUAGUUUGACUGGGGCGGUCUCCUCCCAAAGAGUAACGGAGGAGCAC